GUUUAUUAUCGCCAGCAACACCGGCUAGGAGGAGCGUCUCGACGGGUGCGACGACGAAUACCACGCCGUCCACGUGGAUACGGAAGGCGGUGUCGUCGGGCUCGAUGACUCCACGAUCGAUGUUUCAUUCGCAAUCGAGGUUAUAUACGUAUGCGUGUGUCCUAAACCAGAUCGUUGACGAAACCCCUUCUACGACCACGCUCUCGAGUUUCGUCGAUUCGUCGAGCAAUCACGAGAAACGAAAUUACUGAUGUUUUGGAAUUCUCGCCUAGACAAGGUAAGUGUGACACGCGACGAACGAUCGAUCGAGGAACGAUCGAAAAUACGAAAAGGACUUAUAAGUUGAUUUUUGAUGAGAAAAAACGAUGCCCGUGGCGUGGUAGCGUGAGCAAUGAACGUCUUGACGAUGCGGAGGAUGAGCGAGGUGUGACGACGUCUCCUGCCGACCGGCGAUCCCGGUCCCCACCUGGCAUGGAAACAGAUCGUCAGGCAAGUUCAAGAACCUGGGGCCACUGUGUACGUUCUGUUGCAUACAUACCCAGGUAGAACGUAAUCUUGGUUGGAAUUGAUUUUUCUGCUCGGACGACGUUGAUAUCUCAUUCUACUUUACUUUAGAAUUAUCUAUAUUAUGUUUCAGUUGUCUGUCCUAAGGGCGAUUUGAACAAUAAAUUUCAAUCAACACCAGAUUUCUCUUACACGAUAACAUACUAACCAUGAAAUGAUAUUCGUGAAUUUGCAAGUUACGUGUCGUAGCUCGUAGAAUUACAGAGAAACAGUUUCUACAAUUUUUUGAGCUAUAUUCGUUAAUCGAUUAGUACCACGUUCUUAUUGUUAGAAUAUACAUACAAGCACGCUUAUAUUACGAAGGCAUCGAUAGAAAGGCGAAGAUUAAAUACACGGUAAAAGAGGUAAUAAAUAUCGGCAUUUAUACUUUUACAGGAUAUAAUUAGUUGUUUAUUGUCGUAAUGAAAUAUGUCAUUUCGUUCAACCUCUUUAAGACCCGUUACGUUUCUUGUUUCUUUUUAGGUCUUGAUUAAUCUACGUAAUUCUAUUCAAGAACAAAGUUCGGUUGGUAAGAAGAAAAACGAAACCACUGGUAGCCGGUUUGCUCCCGAACUUAUACACACUCUUUCGUGCGUGAAAUAUACCGAACGUGCGUGUUUCUGUCGGUGCGCACGCGAGCACCUACCCACAUACACAAACGCGCGCGCGCGCGUGCAUACACGCACAUAUACGGGACCGAUUUGUAAAGGGCAACGGCCUCGUAUGGCCCCACCGAGUUCAUUUCCCCGUUUCUCUGUCUCAGCCGCCGCUUAUUACCGUAACCUUGCCCUUGCUCUUACAUUUCCGCCAUGCUCGAACUUCGAGGAUUGUCUUCCUGGUUCGCCUUGAAUGGCGCCUACCGACGAAAGCUUAUAGAAGAUCGGAAUCACUUGAACGCGACUGAAAUUCAAACGUUCCAACUUGAGACUACAGAUAAGAGUCAAUAGUUUAUCUAUUGAGAUAAGCAGAGAUAAAUUUUCAUCGUCCGAGGACAUUCUGUAAGGAAGAACAUUCACAAAAUUUUAGGUAAGACUUGACACAUAUUUUGCAGGAUCUUAUUCUAGGGA